rnacentral:rRNA from 1 species
GNACGGCGAGUGAGAGGAAGAGCUCAAAGUUGGAACCUGUUUGGCCUAGCUAAACCGGAUUGUAGACUGUAGAAGUGUUUUCCAGGCAAGCCGAGUAAAUAAGUCCUUUGGAACAGGGCAUCAUAGAGGGUGAGAAUCCCGUCUUUGGCUUGAGCAUUUGCCUUUUGUGAUACGCUUUCAAAGAGUCAGGUUGUUUGGGAAUGCAGCCUAAAUUGGGUGGUAAAUCUCACCUAAAGCUAAAUAUUGGCGAGAAACCGAUAGCGAACAAGUACCGUGAGGGAAAGAUGAAAAGAACUUUGAAAAGAGAGUUAAACAGUAUGUGAAAUUGUUAAAAGGGAACCGUUUGGAGCCAGACUGGCUUGUCUGUAAUCAAUCUAGGCUUCGGCCUGGAUGCACUUGCAGGCUAUGCCUGCCAACGACAAUUUGACUUGAGGGAAAAAACUAGGGGAAAUGUGGCCCACUUGUGGGUGUUAUAGUCCCUUAGAAAAUACCUUGGGUUGGAUUGAGGAACGCAGCGAAUGCUUAUUGGCGAGUUUUCCAGGAAGGUUUUCUGAGGUACUACGGUAUCAAGGUUGAUCUUUUUGGUUAUACUUCUAUUCGCUUAGGUUGUUGGCUUAAUGACUCUAAAUGACCCGUCUUGA